rnacentral:rRNA from 1 species
ACGAACGCUGGCGGCAUGCCUAACACAUGCCAGGCGAACGAGACCUUCGGGUCUAGUGGCGCACGGGUGCGUAACGCGUGGGAACCUGCCCUUAGGGUCGGAAUAACUCCCCGAAAGGGGGGCUAAUACCGGAUAAUGUCUUCGGACCAAAGAUUUAUCGCCUUUGGAUGGGCCCGCGUUGGAUUAGCGAGUUGGUAGGGUAAAAGCCUACCAAGGCGACGAUCCAUAGCUGGUCUGAGAGGAUGAUCAGACACACUGGGACUGAGACACGGCCCAGACUCCUACGGGAGGCAGCAGUGGGGAAUAUUGGACAAUGGGCGAAAGCCUGAUCCAGCAAUGCCGCGUGAGUGAUGAAGGCCUUAGGGUUGUAAAGCUCUUUUACCCGGGAUGAUAAUGACAGUACCGGGAGAAUAAGCUCCGGCUAACUCCGUG